rfam:Tncultured Acidilobus sp. JCHS scf1118686607487, whole genome shotgun sequence.
GCCGGGGUGGCCGAGCGGUCCAAGGCGACGGGCUCGAGACCCGUUGCUCUUAAAGGGGCGCGUGGGUUCGAAUCCCACCCCCGGCG